rnacentral:lncRNA from 1 species
UUCUCUCUCCAGGAAACCCAAAUCAAUAUCGAUGCAUCAUCCUCUCGAUCUCUCGUCUCCCCACUAUCAAUUGUUGUGGGGAUUUGAUUGUUCCCUCGAUGAGUAAAUCAUUGUUGGUUGCGAACCUGUUUAUUGAAACCAGAUGAAAUUGGGUAAAAUCGAUAAUGGUUGUUAUAGUUUCUUCGAAGUCAGUAGGCUAAUUGCCCUGUUUCAUGUUCAAUGUUGCCGUUAUUGUUAUUUGCCACCAAGUCCAAUCAAAAUCAGGUUGUUAAAACCCUGGAAAUUGUUCAAUCGAAUUAAGGAAUCUGAUUGAAUUAUUGUUUACUGGGUCUAAGCUGCCUCUUAAAUGGGUCAAAAUUGUCUCAGAAAGUGGCUGCCUAUCAGGAAGUGAAGUAAAAGGCGACUAAUCAUAGAGAAAAAUCGAUGCUGGAGAAGUUUGGAUUUAAAUAUCCCAGCAGUGCCUUUAUAUUGGAAUAAAAUGGCAGGUGGCAUCAUGGAAGCAUCUUGAUGUGGUUUCAAAAUUGAGUCCGUUUCCUGGGAUGAAGCAUCUUGAUGUGGCUGGCGGGACAGGUGAUGUUGCUUUCAGGAUUCUGGAAACUAUUAAUAGUGUUAAUCGCAGGGCCAUGGAAUGCACAGUCAGAUGAUUUACGGGA